AAAAAAAGGCUUAUUGACUCUUAGGGACCUUAUCUGAAAGUGAGAUGACCAUGUCUCCCUCCGCACAGGUCACCCAUCUCGCUAAAAACCUCCUGCUUUGGGGCUCAGGUUGGAAUGUCAGAAAUGUAUUAGUUGCCUUGAAUUUUGAAUACGUGUAAAGAAAGCAUCUCUCAUAGAAUGUACCUUCACCAAGAUGCAAUGAUUUCCUGCCCCAGUUGAGUGCUCUCCAAGAAACGUUGAUGAAACAUUUAUCAGAUGCGUGGAGUGAAGGUCAUAUGUAGCACACUUGGACAGAAAUAAGCUGGAUAAAGGAGGCAUCAUUCUCUAUGCAGUUCCCUAACUGAUCUGACCGUUCUAGGCAGCAGAAUCUUAAGAGCAAAAGCAAGGUUGGUCCUGCCAUGUUCGGGUGUUCAUCAAUAACAGCACAUAAAGAAGUUCUUUCAACUUAGGAUUUUAUGCAGAAACAGUGAAAUGAUUAACAUCUGAAGUAGCAACAAUGCCAUGUGUUUUCCAAAACUAUUUUAUUUUUCUCCUGGUUAUACAGGUAGAGUGUGAAUUGGAGUCUCCCUAUGGUUAAGUUGAAGUUAUGUGACUGUAUUCUGGACAAUAGAAAGUGGGUGUAAAUUAUAUUAAUUUAUGCCAGUUCCAGAUUUAGCCAUAAACCACCUGUGAGACCCUUCACAGUCUCUGUUCUCCAUCCACUGCGACCUUGGAAGCCAGGUUUUGAAGAUGCAUUAUUAGAAGAUGAAAGAGAUUGCAUCCCUGAGUGAUUCAUGAUCAUAGCAUUCCAUUCAUUACUCUAAACCAAGCUGCAAAUGAGCAUGGAGCUUCUGUUGGCUUAAUCCCCAAAAGCUGGAGUUGUAAAGGGCUUAGUCUUCCUCCAUAAUACAACUUAAUCCAAGUCUACUGAAAUAGAAGCAUAUUUAUAUUCUAUAAAGUUAACAUAAGCAUAACUUGAUACUAUAGAGAGAAGUUUUAAUAUUAAUAGCCAAUCUGUCAUUACUAAACAACUGGUGAAAAAUAAGCCAGUGAGGCCGGGCACGGUGGCUCAUGUCUGUAAUCCUAGCACUUUGGGAGGCCGAGGUGGGGGGAUCGCUUGAGGUCAGGAGUUCGAGGCCAGCCAGACCAACAUGGUGAAACCCCAUGUCUACUAAAAAUACAAAAUUUGCCAGGUGUGGUGGCAUAUGCCUGUCAUCCUAGCUACUCGGAAGGCUGAGGCAGGAGAACAGCUUGAACCUGGGAGGCGGAUGUUGCAGUGAGCUGAGAUGGUGCCAGUGCACCCCAGCCUGCAACAAAAGCGAAAUUCCAUCUAAAAUAAUAAUAAUAAUAAAAUAAAUAAGCCAAUGAGGUCUGUUGCAUCAUACCUGUUCUGAUUUGAAUAGCAUGUCCCUUUUCCAAAAUUUCCCACCAUCUGCAGAGUAUUGUAUUCAGGUUCAACACAAGCUGGUAAGGCACCUAACUACCUUGUAACCAGUUUCAUAAUAAUUAUUAUUUUCUCCCUGAAAAUAGCCUGCUUUGGACACAGGUGCUCCACUGAAUUUUUUUUUUUUCUUUGAGACGGAGUCUCACUCUGUCGCCCAUGUUGGAGUGCAGUGGCGCGAUCUCGGCUCACUGCAAGCUCCGCCUCCCGGGUUCAUGCCAUUCUCCUGCCUCAGCUUCCCGAGUAGCUGGGACUACAGGCACCUGCCACCACGGCCGGCUAAUUUUUUGUAUUUUUAGUAGAGAUGGGUUUUCACCAUGUUAGCCAGGAUGGCCUCGAUUUCCUGACCUUGUGAUCCGCCCGCCUCAGCUUCCCAAAGUGCUGGGAUUACAGGCGUGAGCCACCGCGCCCGGCCUCCCACUGAUUUUUCUGAGGAUGCCUCUGUGAUGUCAUACAAUGUGCCAAUUUCCAUCUUAUGUCCUAAAAUCCAUCACCCUACUUUUGAGAAAUAUUGUCACUCUGUAGCUAACUCUCUGCUCUAAGAACUCAACGUCCCCAAGCCAACUUCCCGAGUUCCUGCUGGUAUUCUCUAUUCUUUCCGCUGCACAAUGGGACAUGUGGUUUUAUUCCCUGAAAAGUCACUUCUGGAUGGAUCCAGUCUGAAGAUGGUUCUCCUGCUGUAUAGAAACCUGGAUGUCGUGAAAUUGCCUACGGGCAGCUAUUAAACAGCCUCCCUGAAUUUAGCAGAUUAGGAUUUUAGUGAAAAAUUACCACAUGGCCACUGCUUGUGGGUAGAGUGUUCUUCAGAAAAAACGUUAAGGGUUAAAGACCGCAAGUCAUGAAAUGGACGUGACAAGAUGAAUGUCACUGCGUCAUUUCCCAAGCCACGAUCACCAUAGUUCACCAGAACUUAAAUACAGCAGAUGAUAUUUAUAGUCGUUGGUGUAACACCUUGCCUUCAGGGUGGUGAGGUUCCGCUUUGAGAUGUAUUCCAGAAUGUCACAAUGUUAAGGGGUCCUAGGUGUUGUUAAUAUCAAUUUUAUAAUUUUUAAGACAAAGAAAGUGAAGCAUGUUGAAGGCAAGAGAAAUACUAAUGGUGUCAAGUUGGUAUUUUAGAGAGAAGCAGUCAUUUCAUUAUCAGUUAUUACCUAUGCUGGUUGUGCAAAUUUAAGCAAAUUAUUACACUCAGUAGGUGCCAUUUUCUGUGUCCAUAGACAGUGGGGGCUGUUUGACUCAGAGCUGUGCCCAUGUUUGCAUUAAAGGCAUUUUUACAUUUGUAUGCAUUGGUACGAGUUGUCUGUUUCUUUUGCCCAUUUUCAUCCUUUUCUUUCAUUUUCUCCAUGUCUUCGAAUUUUCACAUUAAUUUACAUAGAAGUCGGCAUAGUAGUCUCACAGUUUUUAAAAAAAUCUUCUGUUUUAAUGGUGAUCCUCUUGUAAUUUCUUAUUUUCUGUCUUUGUGCUUUCUCCCCGCUUUUUCUUCAUUAAGUGGUUAGCUACUUUUUUUCUUAUUUUCAAAAAAUAUCCUUAAAACAUAUGAUUUGGUUUAUUAAUUAGAUCUAUAGUUAUUCUCUUCCCUAACUUAUUGAUUUCUGGUCUUCCCUAACUUACUGAUUUUUUACGUUUAUGAAUCCUUUCUUAAGUUUUUUUGUUUGUCUGAAUUCACUGUUAUUUUUCUAAAUUUUUGAGUUGGAGAUUUAAUAAACUUAUUUAUAUUUUUCUAUUUUAUUGAAAUUUUUCAUGCUAUGAAUUUUCUUCUGGUUCUGAUUUAAAUGUGGCUCUUAGAUUCUGGAUUUUAUUUUAUUCUAUUAUUAUUAUUAUUAUUAUUUUCUGACAGACUCUCUCUCUGUCACCGAGGCUGGAAUGCAGUGGUACGAUUUUAGCUUACUGCAACCUCUGCCUCCAGGGUUCCAGCGAUUCUCCUGCCUCAGCUUCCCGAGUAGCUGGGAUUACAGGCACCCGUCACCAUGCCUGGCUCAUUUUUGUAUUUUUAGUAGAGAUGCGGUUUCACCAGGUUUGCCAGGCUGGUCUUGAACUCCUGACCUCAGGUGAUCUACCCACCUCUGCCUGCCAAAGUGCUGGGAAUACAGGCAUGAGCCACUGUGGCUGGCGCCCUCCAUCGUUCUUUUUGUUUGGUUUGCAUCGUAGUUUGCGAAGUGUGGUUCUCCUUUCCUAAUUAGCCUCUAUUCCUCUGAAACAUUGUUUUCCCAACACUGCCUUCUCCAAUUCAGCACAUGUUUUUAAUUCUCUUUACUGUAGUUAGGACUCUGAGCUUCCCGUUCUCUCUGUCAUUAUUUUCACUUGUAUGGUGGGUGUGAUUUCAGUUCAAUCUUGGCUCUCCAUCCCUCUUCUUCUUCUCCUGUGACUCUAGACCCUCCUUAUUCUUGUCAAAAGCUCAGGAUGGGAAAUAGGAAAAUAGUUCUGCUAGAGGGUGGUAUUUAUUUUCAAAUCACAGUUAUUUAACUUUAUAGUUUUAUGUGUGUCAUCAAAUUAUGGUAAAGGAUGGUAUUUGUGUGGUUUAUUUGUUCCUGUUUAUCUUUUUUUUUUUGAAAUGGGGUCUCACUGUGUCACCCAGGUUGGAGUGCAUUGGCAUGAUCUUGAGUCACUGCAUCCUCCGCCUCUCAGGCUCAGGUGAUCCUCCCACCUCAGCCUUCUGAGCAGCUGGGACCACAGGCAUGCCACCACCAUACUUGGCUAAUUUUUGUAUUUUUUGUAGAGAUGGGGUUUUGCCAUCUUGGCUAGGCUGAUCUCAAACUCCUGACCUCAAGAGAUCCUCCCGCCUCAGCCUCCCAAAGUGCUGGGGUUACUGGUGUGAGCCACCACACCUGGACUGUUCUUGUCUCUCUUUAUAGAGUUGUGAGAAGAUGCUAGGAGAUUCUAGCUGCCAUUGACUCAGCGGCAUGGAAAUUGCUUUUCUUUGUUAAUACAUUAAUUAUGUAUGAUUAGUUAUUGAUUAUUCAUGUUAAAAUAUUUUGCGUCAAAUAUUUCUCUUUCCAGGCAGGACUGGCUGUCUAAUAGGUGCAGCCCUGUGACAAUGAAAGUUCAGGACCCCUUCCUAAAAAGUGGUUAAGAAUUUCAAGAUGGCAAAAGUAGAGCAUCAGGCCAGGCACAGUGGCUCCCACCUGUAAUCCCAACACUUUGGGAGGCCGAAGUGGGUGGAUCUCUUGAGGUCAGGAGUUUGAAAGCAGCCUGGCCAGCAUGGUGAAACCCCAUCUCUACUAAAAAUACAAAAAUUAGCCAGGUGUAGUGGUGCGUGCUUGUAAUCCCAGCUACUCAGGAGGCUGAGGUAGGAGAAUCACUUGAACCUGGGAGGUAGAGGUUGCAGUGAGCAGAGAUCACGCCAUUGCACUGCAGCCUGGGGCAAAGAGUGAGACUGUCUCAAAAAAAAAGAAAAAAAAAAAAAAAAGGUAGAGUAUCAAACCAGGUGCAGGAACCUUUGAGUGGUGUCCCUGUGUGUACACAGUCAUACCUCCAGGAAGGUGGUACUGGUUCAAUAUUUUUAUGUAUUAAGUAACUCCUGUUUAGUAACUUUAUAUGUGUUAAGUUAUCUAAUACAGAGAUAAAGAGAGACAGAACUGGAGAGCCGAAUUCUAUUUCCAUACGUGUCAUGGAUUUAUAGUCUGACUUCGAACCCUGGAGUUCUGUUUUCCUACAUGAAAAAUGAAAGAUUUUACCCUGAAUUGUGUUUCACAAACUAUCACAUAUAUUACUGAUAAUACCUAAAUACAUUUUAAUAGUGGUAUUAAUUAUAUCACAUAAAUAGAAAAAAAUUGAAACACAGAAACUGUGCUUUUUCUGUAUAUUCUUUCUUAGCAGGUAGUUAAAAUGAGUAAUAACAAAACAAGGUCAAUUCUAAAGCACUAUUGGAGAAUUAUAAGUACAGGUGAUAUUUAGAUUUUGUAAGAAUCGUGAAGAUUACAUAAAUACAUCUAAAGUUUGGAAAACGUUGCCCAGGAUGAUCCCUAAGGACGCUUUCAGGUCCUUUCGACGUUUUAGGAUUCUAUAAUUGCAUAUCUUUAUACAGAAUUAGGCAUAUUUUUGAUCUGUCAAAUAGGGAGAUUUAAAUAUAUAAUUAAAGGUCAACGUGUUCACACCUUCCAGAAAGACUGGGGUGAGAUGAAUUCCAUAUUUUUGUGUCAUCUACCACCACAAAUUUUAUUUCAUUUCAUAUAAAGAUUAAAAACUGAGAUGUCCCCAUGUACACUCAACACCAUUUAGUACUCAGCCUCCUACUAGCAAGUCAGGGUUGCAAAAAGCCUUCAUGUAACAUUGCUAUCUAUGGUAACUUGAUGUCAAGUCUUUUUCACUUCUGGUUUUCAUGUCUGCUGUGUCUGACACUCUAAAAAAUUCAAAAUAGGUUGUUCUUGAAGAGGAUAAAAAUAGAAGUGAUGGACCGGCACGUUGGCUCACGCCUGUAAUCCCAGCACUUUGGGGGGCUGAGGCAGGUGGAUCAUGAGGUCAGCAGUUCAAGACCAGCCUGGUCAAGAUGGUGAAACCCUGUCUCUACUAAAAAUACAAAAAAUUAGCCGGGUGUGGUGGCAGGCACCUGUAAUCCCAGCUACUAGGGAGGCUGAGGCAGAGAAUUGCUUGAACCCGGGAGGCAGAGGUUGCAAUCAUGCCGUUGCACUGCAGCCGGGGUGGCAGAGUGAGAUUCUGUCUUAAAAAAAAAAAACAAAAA